AGAGUUUGAUCCUGGCUCAGAAUGAACGCUGGCGGUAUGCCUAACACAUGCAAGUCGAGCGAGAAAGUUUCUUCGGAAAUGAGUACAGCGGCGGACGGGUGAGUAACACGUGAGAACCUACCCUGCAGUGAAGAAUAACCUUGAGAAAUUAAGGGUAAUACUGCAUACGUCCCUUAGGGGAGAAAGGUGGCUUUAUGCUGCCGCUGAAGGAUGGGCUUGCGGGCUAUUAGCUUGUUGGUGGGGUAAAGGCCCACCAAGGCGAUGAUGGCUAGCCGGCCUGAGAGGGUGUACGGCCACAUUGGAACUGAGAUACGGUCCAGACUCCUACGGGAGGCAGCAGUGGGGAAUAUUGCGCAAUGGGCGAAAGCCUGACGCAGCAAUACCGCGUGGGGGAUGAAGGUCUUCGGAUUGUAAACUCCUGUUAGGUGGGAAGAAAGGCUUGCUUUAAAUAGAAGUGAGCUAUGACGGUACCGCCAAAGAAAGCACCGGCUAACCUCGUGCCAGCAGCCGCGGUAAUACGAGGGGUGCAAGCGUUAUUCGGAAUUACUGGGCGUAAAGGGUGUGUAGACGGCGUGCCAAGUCUGUUGUUAAAUCCUCCGGCUCAACCGGAGAUGUGCGAUAGAAACUGGUAUGCUAGAGGGUGAGAGAGAGAAGUGGAAUUCUCGGAGUAGCGGUAAAAUGCGUGGAUCUCGGGAGGAACACCGAUGGCGAAGGCAGCUUCUUGGCUCAUUCCUGACGUUGAAACACGAAAGCGUGGGGAGCAAACAGGAUUAGAUACCCUGGUAGUCCACGCCGUAAACGAUGACCACUAGACGUUAGUCUGUUUACAGAUUAGUGUCAAAGCUAACGCGUUAAGUGGUUCGCCUGGGGAGUACGGUCGCAAGACUAAAACUUAAAGGAAUUGACGGGGGUCCGCACAAGCGGUGGAACAUGUGGUUUAAUUCGACACUACGCGAGAAACCUUACCUGGGCUUGACAUGCUUAUGACCGCCGUAGAAAUACGGUUUUCCAGGCUUCGGUCUGGACAUUUGCACAGGUGCUGCAUGGCUGUCGUCAGCUCGUGUCGUGAGAUGUUGGGUUAAGUCCUUUAACGAGCGCAACCCCUGCCGUUAGUUGUUAUUUGCUCUGAAGUAAAGCUUUCUAGCGGGACUGCCUGGGAAACCAGGAGGAAGGUGGGGAUGACGUCAAGUCAUCAUGGUCCUUAUGCCCAGGGCAACACACGUGUUACAAUGGCCGAUACAACGGGUAGCGAUCCCGCGAGGGUGAGCAAAUCUUUAUAAGUCGGUCUAAGUUCGGAUUGGGGUCUGAAAUUCGACCCCAUGAAGUUGAAAUCGCUAGUAAUCGCGUAUCAGAACGACGCGGUGUAUACGUUCUCGGGCCUUGUACACACCGCCCGUCACGCCAUGAGAGCUGUUUUUGCCCAAAGUCAUCUUAGCUAACCUGAAAGGGGGGCGGGUGCCUAAGGCAAGGGCGGUGAUUGGGGUGAAGUCGGAACAAGGUA
rnacentral:rRNA from 1 species